rnacentral:tRNA from 1 species
GCCGAGAUAGCUCAGUCGGUAGAGCAGAGGACUGAAAA